CGGGGUGUAGCACAGUUUGGUAGUGCGCAUGAAUGGGGUUCAUGAGGUCGCAAGUUCGAAUCUUGUCACUCCGA
rnacentral:tRNA from 1 species